rfam:Ictidomys tridecemlineatus contig040618, whole genome shotgun sequence.
GGGGUUGUGGCUCAGUGGUAGAGCACUUACCUUGCAUGUGUGAGGCACUGGGUUCGAUUCUCGGCACCA